GAAUUCCGGAGAAGUUGAAGGGGAAUCAGCUAAGUCUCUUACUUUUAGGGUCAUCUGCCACCAGUAGUUACAAGAAUGGCUGGAAAGUGAUGCACCUCAGAAAAGCUUAAGAGUGGCUUUUGGGCAGCAACCUGCCAUGGGAAACAGGGACCAUCAGGGAGCUACAACUGUGCAACAGCCAACGUGAUGCUGCCCUGUUCCUGUAUGGUUACGAAGUAACAUCUCAGUUUCUAGAACUUUCUGCUAUGGGACAGUCACAGACACAGUGAGAACUCAAGACCCAGGAAGCCCUACAGUUUCAAAUGUUGCCACGUGCUCCAGGCCUGAGGGAGGAGCAGCAGUCACUGGACCUGUCUGGCGAGAAGAUGUCAGGGUGAGAGUAGCUUAAUUCCAGCUUAAAUUCUGGUGAAGCUGUCAAGCUCGGACUCCAUCGUCCUCUGAGAUCUAUGCAGUUCUAAGGGAGGGCUCCAUGUCCCGGUGCUUGCAUAGACUCAGCGCUCGGCACACUCUGGGGUCUACAGUGUUGGGAAUUUCUAAAGCCGGCUCCACUCUGUGAUUUUUUUCUUUUAAAUGACUUAUUUUCAACACUCAUCGGAAUGACUUCUUUGGAAGAAAGCUGAGCUGGCCCACAGAAUAGGAUUGUUUCAUCCAUGUUUGUCUCUAGAUUCAUGGUCUUAUUUGUGACCUACCCUUUCCUGGUGAUUUUAUAUUUUAAUAUUCUCAACCAUCGUGAAGUACAAAUCUGACGCCAAACUUAAAGCGCAUGCUAAGUACGUCUUAGAAGAGUCAAACACAUUUACCUCCGUGAUAGUUAUCAACAUUUUCAUGUAGUCUAUGAUACGCCAGUCUAUGGCUAUAUCAACAGCAACAUGGCAAAUAAAAGCUUUCAAAUUAUUAUGGUAAGAUUUUAUUUUUAUGGUGAGAACAGGUAAUGAUGACAGGUAUUGAUUUUAUGGGAGGGGGAGGGGUAAUCAUCUUCAUAUAAAUUCUACAGAAAGGUGACCAACCUCACUAUAACUGAAAAUAUGAGUUUGUGACCUAUAGUUAGUUGUAAAUUUUAAGUGACUUAAUAAUGGCUAUGAUUUCUUACUUUUCUUAGCCACUGUAGGCACAGACUUGUGCUGUUCAA